UAUAAUUAUGAAAAAGUUAACCAUAUAAUCUUGAAAUAAGGUCAAGAGUUUCUACAAACUGCCGAUAACAGUUUACUAUGGGGCAGUUUUAGAUUUAU
rnacentral:ncRNA from 2 species